rnacentral:lncRNA from 1 species
GUGAAAGGAGGCCUUUGCAAAAUAGAAAAAGUACUUUCAUUCCAGAGAGAGCCCUAGGAAUAAAAAAAAAGAGGAAUCUGCAAAGAAAAGCAGUAGGGGAGAGAGCUAAUACCACUAGUUUCAUUCUCAUAAGGGAAAGAGAGACAUUUUAGAAAAGAUCUAUUGUGUGAACUUGAAAACAAGAUGUAGGGUCAGAAAUGCUGUGGUGGCAGGUCCGUGGAGGAAGUAGCCAUCAAAUAAUAGCCUUGAUUGCAAGCCAGUGUUAAUUAGGCUUGUGGGGCCCUCAAUGAGCAAAGAAGAUUGAGCUCUAACCAUCAGUUCCCCACAUGAAGGUUUAUUGUAAUAUGAAAAAGUUAUUUAAAUUUCACUUCACGUUGUCCUUUUGAAUCCUCGCAUUAAUAAAAUCGUUUUCAGUGGAAAUAGCAGCAGCAAGAAAUAGAAAAUACUAACAGCAAGAUUUUUUUUUUUAAUGCCCAUAAGAAGCAGCUUGGAAAUUGACACUCGGUUGCCAGGCACGUUUUACAGCUUUGCUCUUUACCAUGGACCAGAGAUAAUUUUCCUUAUGGAGAAUUUACAAGUUUCCAGAUGCAUUAUGCUGAAGAUAGCCAGGAUCCAGUACAAGGUUGGUGUCCCACUACAAAGCAAGGGCCUGCCACAACCAGAUGCAUGUUUCAACGACAUCGAAAGACUCACCUUGGACUCAUUGCUGACUUGUCAACCAGAACUCCAAUAUCUGAGUUUGUCAAGGUGCUACUCUUUGACUCAGUUGACCUUCCUUCUCCCUUCCUUCUCCCUUCCUUUUCCUUCUACUCUGGUCACUGCCUUCAAUUCCUUCCCCUCUCUAUGUUUGUCUUGUAGAUCUCAAAGGACGUGGAGUGUAUUUGUAUUAUCAUAUAAAGCACGUGAAAUUAUGGUUUUCUCUGUGAAUUUUUCUAAAAGCAUACUUUGAAUUCUAUUGUUGGUAUUUCCAGUGAGAAGCAUAGAGCACAUGGUAG